ACGCGAGGAACCUUACCUGGCUUAAAUGUAGAGUGCAUUUUUUAGAGAUAGAAAUUCCCUUCGGGCUUUCUGCAAGGUGCUGCAUGGUUGUCGUCAGCUCGUGCCGUGAGGUGUCGGGUUAAGUCCCAUAACGAGCGCAACCCUUAUCGUUAGUUGCCAUCUGGUAAUGCAGGGGACUCUAGCGAAACUGCCACCGUAAGGUGAGAGGAAGGUGGGGAUGACGUCAAAUCAGCACGGCCCUUAUGACCUGGGCUACACACGUGCUACAAUGGGCGGUACAAAGGGUCGCGAACCCGCGAGGGGGAGCCAAUCCCAAAAAGCCGCUCUCAGUUCGGAUUGCAGGCUGCAACUCGACUCCAUGAAGUCGGAAUCGCUAGUAAUCGCGAAUCAGCAUGUCGCGGUGAAUACGUUCCCGGGCCUU
rnacentral:rRNA from 1 species